rnacentral:lncRNA from 1 species
CCAAGCCGAGUUUUCUGAAAACAGAAAGAGGCAUUAGAUUAAUACUUGCACCCAAAUCACACAAAGCUUUAUCAAAAUAACAGUCUCCAAUAGUGCAGGGUACAGUAAAACUCCCUGGAUAUUUCAGUUUUGGGGGUAGCUUUCUCUGGAUUCUGGCGCUGCAUUCCUCAGUCAACAUUACUGUUUCGUGUUCUUCUAUCUUCCGCUUGUUGGAGAGGAUAUCCUUCAAGAAUUUUGCAUAGCUCAGCAUCUGGACAAGUACUUCAGCAAAUGGGAUGUUGAUAUGCAGUUUCUUGAAGACUUCAAGGAACUUACUGUAUUGCUGAUCCAUUUUGUGCUUUCUCAACCUUUGUGGAAACGGAAUAGGAGGCUCAUGAGG